UACGAAGGGGGCGAGCGUUGUUCGGAAUUACUGGGCGUAAAGGCGCGUAGGCGGCCGAUCAAGUUAGAUGUGAAAGUCCUGGGCUUAACCUGGGGACUGCAUUUGAUACUGAUUGGCUUGAAUUCGGGAGAGGAUAGCGGAAUUCCCAGUGUAGAGGUGAAAUUCGUAGAUAUUGGGAAGAACACCGGUGGCGAAGGCGGCUAUCUGGACCGACAUUGACGCUGAGGCGCGAAAGCGUGGGGAGCAAACAGG
rnacentral:rRNA from 1 species